rnacentral:tRNA from 4 species
GCGGGUGUGGUGGAAUUGGUAGACACAGCAGACUUAAAAUCUGCAGGCCGAAAGGCCGUGCCGGUUCGAGUCCGGCCACCCGCACCA